CCCCCGCUGCCGCCGUUGCCGCCGCCGCCGCUGCCAGCGCCCCUGGGACGGGCUUUCCCGGCUGGGCAGCACCGCAGCCGCUCCCGCGCCUCCCCACUGCGCGGGGGGUGGCGCUGCGCGCGCCUCCCAGGAUCCCGGCCAGGCUCCUCGCCCAGGGACCUCGCCUUGCCGCAGGAGACUCAGACCCCCUCCCACAGGGCAGUCACCAGCCUCCUCCCAGUAGCAAAUGAUUUGAUGGGGGCUCUUUUCUUUCGAAAGGACCUGGGGGUCAGCGGACGUUCGGACUCAUUGCGAAGUGAAGAACCUUACUGGGGGAUUUUUUUUCUUUCAUUCUUUCCCUUUUUUUUUUGUAAUUAAAAAACCCUUUUCAGAACUAAAGGAGGAAACAGAUUCUUCCCUUUCCCAUUUUAAGCACUUAUGGGAGGAAGCGAAGAUAGGAAAGGCGAACCAGUCAACUGGAGUGGAGUAGGAGCUCAGAUGAAAAAGAAGACAGGAAAAGGAGAGAGGGAAACCUUAAGAUCCUGGCACCAAGAAGGAGCUGGGGGCUCUGACCACGGCCCGCAUGAGGAGUUAAACCCUUUCUAACUAACCUUCCAGGCAUCUAGAGACAGACCUCUCAGAUCUGAAAAGAAAGCCUGGCUGCCUUUAUUUAUAUUCAAUCUUCAAAGCCUAAUAUAUUAAAAUGAGAGUUCAUUUUUCCCACGACAUUCUGGAAAUCUUGUAUACAAGCAAAGAAAUGACCAUUUAUAAUGUUCUGCAGAAGAAUCCUGGAGCUGUAUGUUGAUUUAAUACCUAUUGCCUAAGAUCCCCUUUGGUAUUCAAACCCUGUCACUGUGGCUGUUUUUAUUAUUUGUGAGAUUUGCUUCAUUCCGUUUUGUUUAAAGAUUCUAUUGAAGCCAGCAUUGAUUUCUUUGGUUUAAGAAUCCAAAAAUAAUCAAAUCUGUUUUCUUUUCUAGUUAGGCCCUGGUGGAUUAUAAAUAAGAAAAAAAGGAACAAAUAUCUCAAAAUGUAUUGAUCUGAGUGCUGAAUAAUCUCAUUCUUCAAAGUGGAAAGUAACCCUGUUUUUGCAGAUAAGGAAACAGAGUUGUUAUUGCAAUCAACUGGACUGUUUUUGAAAUGCAAGCGAGGCACGUACACCCUCUAGUGGAGAAUCUAAUUAGCAAUGGAAUUUUACAAAAGGAAUUUCUAUGGAAAGAUUUUGUCAAGGAACAGCUGGACAUUGUCACCUCCAUGGUCCAAAUCUAAAUCUUCUAAUGAAUAGAAAAAUUCAGUUUCUCAAUGAAAAGAAGAAAGUUCAUCUGAAGUCUGGAAGAAAAGAGUGAGAUGCCCACAAGUACUAUAAACACAUGGAAGGUUCAUCAUAUCUGGAUGGUGUAAAAUGCAUUGGAAAAUGGUAGACCUGUUGAGACAGAUCAUAAAGAAACCUGUGCACCAUGCAAGGCUGCCUGAUGAACCUGGAGUCAUACCCAAAGCAGGAUAUUCCAGGAUGUUAUUCUGUUCCUCAUUGGUGUCAAAUCCAGCAUAGCCUCACAGAGCAACACCUCAGCUCCUCAGCCUAUCAGAUGCAUGGGAACCUUGACUGAAGCUGGACACUGAGGUUUAAGGCUUUAUCUUUCCAGGAACAUUCCCCAAUAAGCUUACCCACUUCCUGAAGGUUCCUAGUACCAGAAGAAAGCUAAACCAUAAAUUUGCUAUAGUCAGAAAAUCAUUCCUUUUCCUUCCCAUGUGCCUUUCUGAAACAUCCCUCAGAAAAAGAUGAGGGGAGGGGAGGAGAGGGAAGGGGGGAAAUAUCACUAAUACACUACCCCUACAAUUACCUCACAUGUAUACUUUAAUUUUACUACUCUGAGAUUUUGCCCUCCAGCUUACAUUUAGUAAUGUUAGAAACACCUACUAGUGUCACAACUGGAGGAAUACUACUGACAUUUGGUGGGUAGAGGAGUCAGAUGCUGCAAAACAUAUUACAUGGACAUGACAAACCCCACAACGGUGCUAUCUGUUCCAAAACAUCAGUAAUGCUACAGUUGAGAAGCCAUGCUGUAGGCCACAUAUUAAGCUGAAAAUGCACAAUGUGAGAAAUAAAGUAGUUAAGUUUUUAAAAACAAUUCAGCAUUUACUUGCUUUAGACUGGAAAUUUGAUACUUUUUUUAUCCUGAACCAAAAGAAGGG